CAUUCGAAUGGCGGACGGGUGAGUAACGCGUGGGUAACCUGCCUUACACAGGGGGAUAACACCUGGAAACAGGUGCUAAUACCGCAUAAGCGCACAGGGCCGCAUGGCCCGGUGUGAAAAACUCCGGUGGUGUAAGAUGGACCCGCGUCUGAUUAGCUUGUUGGCGGGGUAGGGGCCCACCAAGGCGACGAUCAGUAGCCGGCCUGAGAGGGUGGACGGCCACAUUGGGACUGAGACACGGCCCAAACUCCUACGGGAGGCAGCAG
rnacentral:rRNA from 1 species